GACUGGGUCCCUGGCGGCAGGAGCCGUCGAACCGCGUCAGGUCCGGGAGGAAGCAGCGCUAAGGCGUACCUCCUGGGUGCCCAGGAUCGCCUGGUCGCC
rnacentral:SRP_RNA from 1 species